UUUAAUCUAUUUCGAUUCCGAUGUCGAUAUGUCGGUAGCAAACCCAUAUGAGAAAGAAAUGAAAGCUAAGAGCUUUUUACCUUAUCUGUAUUUUAACCUAACUUUGAAUGAAAAAGAAAAAAUAAAAAUUAAUUUUAAUUUAAAAUAAAUAUGUUUUAGUAAUUUAAUAUAUAUGAAUUAAAAAAAAAUAAAAAGUUGAGGGUGACCGUGGCCUUCCCACAUCCCCCUCAGUUCCUCCACUAGGUCUGAGAAGACCUCACAAGUCGGAAGGCAAGAAUAUGCUAUUGUUAUAGAAUAAGACACGUUUUUAAAAUG
rnacentral:lncRNA from 1 species